rnacentral:misc_RNA from 1 species
GGAAGAUGUUGCAAAGUUUACUGGUUGUCUCAAGGAAUAUGAUAGCAUGACAAAGCUGGAUGAAUGGAGGACAACACUUCUUUUGAGAGUGAAGGAAGCGUUGAAGGCGAAGGAGCUAGAGGAAGAUGAUCUUACUUAAAUUAUUCUUAUAUGAAACUGGUUUGUAAAUUGCAUUAUUUGUGAUUCCUAUUAUUUUCUACUUGGUGAUUGUUUUCUCAUCUCAUGCUACUUAAUUUUUAACAAUUUCAUUUUGUACUGGUUGAGUUUGAGUUCCAUAUUGAGUUAAGACUACCAACAAGGUUUUAGC